UUCAAGUUAGAUGUUGAGAUGAGAAAAGAUAGUUCACCUCUUGAUUUUAUGCACAGGGAUAUGUUUAUAGGCUAAUUACAUGUAUCUUACUUCCAUAAGCAAUGAAACCUAUUUUUCCCUGUCCUCCUACAAGAGAGAAGUAAAGAAAAAUUCUACUUGAAAGCCUUUUGGUCUCACUGGAUAUAUCGGCAUAUGAAUGAAUGAAUGAAUGAAUCUUAAGCUCUUUCCCACC
rnacentral:lncRNA from 1 species